UACGUAGGUGGCAAGCGUUGUCCGGAUUUACUGGGCGUAAAGAGCGCGCAGGCGGUCGAUUUAGUCGCGUGUGAAAGCCCCCGGCUCAACUGGGGAGGGUCACGCGAUACUGAUCGACUCGAAGGCAGGAGAGGGUAGUGGAAUUCCGGGUGUAGUGGUGGAAUGCGUAGAGAUCCGGAGGAACACCAGCGGCGAAGGCGGCGUCCUGGACUGGUACUGACGCUCAGGAGCGAAAGCGUGGGGAGCGAUCCGG
rnacentral:rRNA from 1 species